rnacentral:rRNA from 1 species
UACGUAGGGCGCAAGCGUUGUCCGGAAUUAUUGGGCGUAAAGAGCUCGUAGGCGGUUUGUCGCGUCUGCUGUGAAAACUCGAGGCUCAACCUCGGGCUUGCAGUGGGGUACGGGCAGACUAGAGUGCGGUAGGGGUGACUGGAAUUCCUGGUGUAGCGGUGAAAUGCGCAGAUAUCAGGAGGAACACCGGUGGCGAAGGCGGGU